CAGUUACACUGACGCUUUCUUCCCCUUAUAGGUGGCCAUCAUUUUCUUGAUUUCAGCAAUAGCUUUGCCUGGAUUCAGCCCCUUGAGAGAAGAAAAGAGAAGCAGUACCAAAGGGUACGUGAGACUGAAUGAAGAACCCAGGGCCUGGGGCGAACCCCCCCCUCUAGUGGGGCUGGGGUCAAAGCAAGGCGAUGCGAAUCUCAUCCUUUCAAAGCCAGGGGCUGGGGCUCAGGGUUCUCCGGUGUCCACCUGGAGACACCUCACAGCGGCCGGACGGCUCCGGUGACCCCUCCCGCCCCCCUGCGCAGACCCACGGGGGCCGUGUGCUCGAGACGCACGCACGUCCAGGAGAGGGCAGCUCUUCCACGGCCACGGCCGGCGUCCCAACCAGCCGGCAGCCCUCAGUCUCUUACGCGUUCCCGUGGACACACGAGAGCCCUCACGGGUGCCGGGAAGGAAGGGCCCUCCCUGGGGACCCUUCCCAAGCUCCCGUGGCAGCCUGACUGGCCAGUAACCCUGCUUCCGCAGGAGGCACCAUGACGAGCCCAGUGAGCGCCGGCCGCCUCAGCAGGGACACAAGGACGCAGCCGAGAGUGGCUGCACCAGCUUGCAUUGCCACCAACAAUGCAAAAGAGAUCCUCUUUCCAGGAGGUGG